UGAGUACUGUCACUUUACUGGUCACAUUAAGGAUAAUUUCUAUAAGCUAAUUGGUUAUCCAAGUGAUUGGAAGUUCAGAAAGAAAACAAUUUAUGGUAAUAAGAACACUAGUGGUGGCUUUGGUGCUGGUUAUGGAGGUCAAGAUAUAGCCAACAAUGUGACUGGUGAUUCAAACAGUUCAUAUGAUCAGUCUCAACUAGCUUCAACUAGUCAAAGUGCAGGAGAUGACACAGGUUUGACAGAGGCACAAGUAUUCACAGAGAAGGAAUAUAAACAAAUUUUGGAGAUGCUGAACAAAGAGUAGCUUAAGAGAGUUAACAUGGCAGGUAUUACAACUUGUUUAAUGUCAAAAAAAAAAUUUCCUCACAAGACUGGAUUGUAGAUUAUGGUGCAACUCAUCAUAUCACAACACAUAAGCAGUCACUGUUUAAGAGUCAUGAAUUGAGUAAGUAGGUACAUUUACCCACAGGGGAUAGAGUAAAUGUGAAUCACAUUGGUGAAUCAACUAUAUUUGAUGACGAUAUUGUGAGAAAUGUACUGCAUGUACCAGACUUCAAGUUCAAUUUGCUGUUAGUAUCCAAUAUAAUAAGGGAACUAUCUUGCUUUGUAUCAUUUUAUCCUAACUUCUGUGUUUACCAGGACCUCUUCAGUGGAGGUCUAUACAUGUUCAAGAGUGGCUCAACAUUGAAUAAAAUAGACAAAUGUAAGCAACAAGUGAUGGAUGCAGGAAUAGCAAGACAAGAUACUCAACUUUGUUAUCAAAGACUUGGGAAUCCUUCUUACUUUAUCAUGAAACAUUUAAAUCUACUUUCUAGCAAUAAGAAUGAUAUACUUGUUAGUUGUCAUGUUUGUCCAUUAGCUAAGCAAAUAAGGCAAGUAUUUCCUAGUAGCAAUUCUAGGGCUUCUACUAGUUUUGACUUGGUUCAUAUGAAUUUAUGGGGAACAUAUAAGACUCCUACUCUAGACAAGAAGCACUAUUUUUUAACUAUAGUUGAUGACUACAAUAGAUUUGUUUGGGUUUACUUGUUGCAAUUAAAGUCUGAAACUCUUGCAGCCAUAAAAUUGUUCUUCUCUAUGAUCAAGACUUAAUUUGGUGCACAUGUUAAAGUUGUGAUAUUAGAUAAUGGUAAUGAGUUCUUCAACUCUCAAUGUAUUAAAUUGUUUUAUGAACUAGGAAUACUUCAUCAAAGCAGUUGUCCACAUACACCACAACAAAAUGGUGUGGUAGAAAGGAAACAUAGGAAAAUUCUUAACAUAGCUAGAGCUACCAGGUUUCAAUCACAAUUACAUAUUAGGGAUAUUGUAUCAAGGCUGCUGUAUAUUUGAUGAACAAAUUACCUUCUUCAAGUAUCUCAAACAAAAGUCCCUAUGAACUUCUCUAUUCUAAAAUUCACUUGGUCAUCUAAAUGUUAUAGGUUGUUUGUGCUAUGCUACAGUGGUGCCUAAGAGUGAUAUAUUUGCAAAAAGAGCUAUUCCUACCAUAUUUCUAGUAUACUUAGAGUUACAGAAAGGUUAUGUAUUGUUGGAUAUAAAGUCCAAGAAGUUUCUUGUGAGCAGAGAUGUAGUUUUUCAUGAAACUAUCUUUCCUUUUUCUACAAAGGAAGUGUAUACAAAUACAUUAAUAGAUGUAUGUGGUUCUCCAUUAGAUGUUGCUGACAGUUCCAUGAUGGAUUGUGAUCUUGAUGUUACUACAGACACAGAAGUUCAUCAUACUAAUGAUGAUAAUGAUGUGAAUACUAAUGAUGAUGUAGACAUAGAAGUUCUUCAUGAUAAGGGUGGAGCUGCAAACACAGACCAUGAUGACAGUACAACUAAUAUUCCUAUUUUCACUGAGAUUGUUAGAGUGCCUACUACAAGUGUCAGAAGGACUUCAAGGAUUGUCAAGGGACCAGUUUGGAGGUAAGAUUAUGCAGGGAGGAAACAAAGUAGCACCAGGCAUCCAAUAACUAAUUCUCUCAGCUAUGACAGAGUUACAUCUUGUUACAAGAUAUCUGAGAUCAAGGCUUUAGAAGAAAACAAUACAUGGUCAGUAGUUGAUUUACCUAAAGGAAUGUACAAUGUGGGCUCUAAGUGGAUUUACAAGAUAAAAUACAAAGCAGAUGGUGAAGUUGAAAGAUUCAAAGCUAGGUUGGUAGCUAAAGGGUACAGUCAGCACGAAGGAUUAGACUAUCAUGAUACAUUCUCACUAGUUGCUAAAAUGGUAACAACUAGAUGUGUGAUUGCCUUAGCUGUCUCAAAAGGGUGGCCUAUAUACCAAAUGGAUGUUUAUAAUGCCUUCCUUCAAGGUGAUCUUGAGGAGAAAGUCUACAUGGAGAUGCCUGAAGGAUUUAAAAAAACAGGAGAAAAUAAGGUGUGCAAGUUACUUAAGUCUCUAUAUGGGCUUAAACAGACAUCUAGACGUUGAAAUUUGAAGUUGACUAAUGCCUUAGUGGCAGCUGGUUUUACUCAAAAUGGUCAUGAUUAUUCCUUAUUCACCUUGAAGAAAGAUGCAGACAACGUAGUUAUUCUAGUUUAUGUUGAUGAUUUGCUGAUUACUGGAAGUAAUACUAAAAUGAUCAAUGAAGCAAAGGAAAAUUUGCAUAAGCAUUUCAAGUUAAAAGGCCUUGGUGAACUCAGGUAUUUUCUUGGCAUUAAAGUGUUGAGAUCAGCAGAAGGAGUACUUUUGAAUCAAACAAAAUAUGUGUUAAAACUUUUCCAAAACAGGUCUAACAGGUGUUAAACCUUCUUCUACCCCCAUUGAGUUAAAUCUUAGAUUGACAUCAAUAGAAUAUGAUCUGGAUAAUGGCCAUAUUGGAGAUAUUGUACUACAAGACAUUACAGAUUACCAAAUGGUGGUUGGAAAGCUCUUAUACGGUACUAUUACCAGACCAGAUAUCCGCUAUGCAGUACAAGUCUUGAGUCAAUUUAUGCAAUCUCCCAAGAGGUCACAUUGGGAUGCAUCAAUAAGAGUGAUUAAGUAUCUUAAAGGAAUAGUUGGUCAAGGAAUCUGGUUACAAUCUAAACCUGCUAAUGUGUUAUCAUGUUGGUGUGAUUUUGAUUGGGUUGCUCGUCCUAAUACCACGAGGUCUAUUACAUGUUAUGUGGUUAAGUUUGGAGAAUCACUUGUGUCAUGGGAAUCAAAGAAACAGCAGACUGUUUUCAGAAGCUCAGCUGAAGCUGAAUAUAGAAGCAUGGUACCAGCUGUGUCUGAAAUCACUUGGUUGUUGGGGUUGUUUACUAAGCUAUGUGGAAAUCUAGAUGCUAAUUCUUGUGUUCCGUGAUAGCAAAUCUGCUAUACAACUAGCAGCAAAUCCAGUUUUUCACGAGAGGACAAAACACAUUGAAAUUGACUGCCAUUUCAUCAGAGAUAAGAUCAAAGCAAGAGUUAUUGAUACAGUCCAUGUUAAUACUCAACAACAACUAGCAUAUUUGCUAACAAAGGGGUUGAGUCAAGCUCAACAUUCAUACCUUUUGAGCAAGCUUGGUGUGCUCAACAUUUUGCGCCCUUCAGCUUUAGGGGGAAUGUAGAAAACUAUGCAAUUCUGUUAGCUUUAAUAUCCUAAAGUUAGUUAAUGUCAAGUUAGUUAGCUACUACAAUAAUUUAGUUAGUUGCUACAAUAACUUUCCAUUUUUCAGUUAAUUAGCUUAGUAUAGUUAAUUGUUACUUAGCUAGUUAGUUAGCUCGAUUAAUGUGUACUUAGUUACCUCGAGAAAUGUGUCAUACAUUGAGUUAGAAUGCUAUAUAAGUUAGCAUGAAGCUUCAUUGUAAAAAUACAAGUUCAAUACUAUUCUUCUUCCUCUUUCUCUUAA